rnacentral:rRNA from 1 species
UUAGGUAUAAUUUUAUUUAUAAUAAUUAGUAAUUAUUAAUUUAAAAAAAAUAAUUUUAUUUUUAGUAUUGUUUAUAGAAUGAAGUUUAAAAUUUAUAGUUUAUUUAGUACCGAGAGGGAAUAUUUUAUUUUAUGUAAAAGAAUUAUUUUAUUAAGUACCUUUUGUAUCAGGGUUUAUUAAUUUUAUUUUAAAUAAUUAAAAAUCUCGAAAUUAAAAGAUCUAUUUUUUUAUGUUUUUAUAUGUUUUAAAAUAUAAUAUAAUUUAAAAAUAGUAAUUAAAUGUUUUUCGAAUUUAAUAUAUCUAGUUUUUUAAGAUUUUAAUUUAAUUAAGCUAUUAAUUUAUUUAGGUGAAUUACAAAAGUUAAUUAAUAGUAAAUGAUUCAGGGAUUAGCUUGGGUUAUUCAAUAUAAUAAUAAUAAAAUUAAAUUUUGAGUAGGAUUAAAAUUGUCCAUCUUUUAUUAUUUAAAAGUAAGGUUUUUAAGGAUUUUAAUUUUUUAUAAAUUUAGAUUUUUAUUAAAAAUUUAAUUUUAACUAAUAAUUUUUUUUAUAAUGAUAAAAUUAGUAUUUUAAUAUUUAAAAUAUAGGAAUUCGGCAAAAAUUAUUUUCACCUGUUUAACAAAAACAUGUCCUUUAGAAUUUAUUUAAGGUCAGGCCUGCUCUAUGAAUUAUUUAAAUGGCCGCAGUAUUUUAACUGUGCAAAGGUAGCAUAAUCAUUUGCUUUUUCAUUGAAAGCUGGAAUGAAUGGUUUAAUGAGAAAUAUUCUUUCUUUAUUUUAUUAUUAUUAAUUUUAUUUUUUUAUUAAAAAGUAAAAAUAAAAUUAUUAGACGAGAAGACCCUAUAAAACUUUAUUAAUAUUUUAAUUAAUUAUUUGUUUAAUAUUUUUGUUUAGAUAUUAUUAAUUUUGUUGGGGUGACAGUUAAAUUUUUUUAACUUUAAUUUUUAUUUUUUAUUAAUUUAUAUUUAUCUUGAUCCAUAAAUUGUGAUUAUAAGUUUAAGUUACUUUAGGGAUAACAGCGUAAUUUUAUUGGAAAGUUCAUAUUGAUAAUAAAGUUUGCGACCUCGAUGUUGGAUUAAAAUUAGUUUUUGGUGCAGUAGCUAAAAUACUAAGUCUGUUCGACUUUUAAAGUUUUACAUGAUCUGAGUUCAAACCGGCGUGAGCCAGGUUGGUUUCUAUCUUUAAUUUUUAAUGAUUUAGUACGAAAGGACCAGUUGUUAUGAUUAUAUUAUU